rnacentral:rRNA from 1 species
GUAGGUGGCAAGCGUUGUCCGGAAUUAUUGGGCGUAAAGCGCGCGCAGGCGGUUCUUUAAGUCUGAUGUGAAAGCCCACGGGCUCAACCGUGGAGGGUCAUUGGAAACUGGAGGACUUGAGUACAGAAGAGGAAAGCGGAAUUCCACGUGUAGCGGUGAAAUGCGUAGAGAUGUGGAGGAACACCAGUGGCGAAGGCGGCUUUCUGGUCUGUAACUGACGCUGAGGCGCGAAAGCGUGGGGAGCAAACAGGAUUAGAUACCCUGGUAGUCCACGCCGUAAACGAUGAGUGCUAAGUGUUAGGGGGUUUCCGCCCCUUAGUGCUACAGCUAACGCAUUAAGCACUCCGCCUGGGGAGUACGGCCGCAAAGGCUG